rnacentral:misc_RNA from 1 species
AUCAAAAGCUUUAAGGAAAGCUCUUUGUUUUUUGAAAGGGUGCUUUUAUGAGAUAAAGCUUUUUUAGAUAAUGCUUUUUUAGAUAAUGCUGGGGAAGGUUUUCCGGUUUAUCUCGGAGGGCUUGUAGCUCAGUUGGUUAGAGCGCGCGCUUGAUAAGCGUGAGGUCGGAGGUUCAAGUCCUCCCAGGCCCACCAAUUUACCUAUCCAUUUGCCUUUAUCCGUUUAUUUGCCGAUUUAUCGGUCUAUUGAAUUUAAGUGUUGGUAGCAGUUUUUAUAAUGAUGAGAAUUCAUGCUUAUAAAGGAACUCCUUAUAAAAGGCUUGUUUUUAAAAUGCGACGCUUAUCCAUUUCGCUUAGGCAAGAGAAACUUCAAGCGGUUCAAAUGCAAAAGGCUUUAAAUUUUGCAAAACACUUUGAAUUUUAAAGUGAUCCAAGUUCGUGAUCUCGAAUUUAAAAGUUUCGAAUGCUUUAUCCUUUUUUGGGGGCCGUAGCUCAG